rnacentral:rRNA from 1 species
GUGGGUAGUUUGACUGGGGCGGUCUCCUCCCAAAGAGUAACGGAGGAGCACGAAGGUUAGCUAAUCCUGGUCGGACAUCAGGAGGUUAGUGCAAUGGCAUAAGCUAGCUUGACUGCGAGCGUGACGGCGCGAGCAGGUGCGAAAGCAGGUCAUAGUGAUCCGGUGGUUCUGAAUGGAAGGGCCAUCGCUCAACGGAUAAAAGGUACUCCGGGGAUAACAGGCUGAUACCGCCCAAGAGUUCAUAUCGACGGCGGUGUUUGGCACCUCGAUGUCGGCUCAUCACAUCCUGGGGCUGAAGUAGGUCCCAAGGGUAUGGCUGUUCGCCAUUUAAAGUGGUACGCGAGCUGGGUUUAGAACGUCGUGAGACAGUUCGGUCCCUAUCUGCCGUGGGCGCUGGAGAAUUGAGGGGGGCUGCUCCUAGUACGAGAGGACCGGAGUGGACGCAUCACUGGUGUUCGGGUUGUCAUGCCAAUGGCAUUGCCCGGUAGCUAAAUGCGGAAGAGAUAAGUGCUGAAAGCAUCUAAGCACGAAACUUGCCCCGAGAUGAGUUCUCCCUGAG